GGUGUUUGGAAUGAGGUUUGAUCCAAGAUCAUCACAUCAUAUAUAUAUCUUCUUCUUCAAUUUCCCUUUCCUUCUUGAUUUACUUACCUUCAUACAUAUAUUAUUAUUUUCAUCACUUCAUGCAUGGGAUGAGACUGAUCUCGGACCAGGCUUCAUUCCUCACACC
rfam:Glycine soja cultivar W05 scaffold600_66, whole genome shotgun sequence.